GUGAGAGUAGCUCAGUUGGUUAGAGCAUCGGUUUGUGAAGCCGAGGGUCGUGGGUUCGAUUCCCAUCUCUCACCCCA
rnacentral:tRNA from 1 species